UUUAAAAUGCAAACAAACAACACAGCAAAGCGGUAAAACUUGCUGCGCUUACAAAAAUGUAAUCAGGGGUUCUCACAAAAUCACAAAAACACAUAAAAACACAUAAUAAUAAUAAAAGAGCCGCCACCGUCGAUCAAGAACCCAAUUCUGGGAACAAAAGUUGGGAGAUGAUGGUGGAAACUUCAAACUAAGUACGAAAAACAAUCUACCUAGCGAUGACACAAGAGUACAAGCAAGAAACCAGCAUUUAUUGUAACCAUCCCCUGAUGAAUCACCCAGCACGAUUCACUUCUUCUUCUGGGCAGCCUUGGUGACCUUGGCUCCAGUGGGAUCCUUCUUCUCAACGUUCUUGAUGACUCCCACAGCAACAGUUUGACGCAUGUCCCUCACAGCAAAACGUCCAAGAGGUGGGUACUCAGAGAAAGUCUCCACAACCAUUGGUUUGGUAGGAACCAUCUUCACGAAACCAGCAUCACCGUUCUUCAAGAACUUAGGCUCCUUCUCGAGCUCUUUGCCAGAACGCCUGUCAAUCUUGGUCAUAAGUUCAGCGAACUUGACAGCAAUGUGGGAGGUGUGGCAAUCCAGAACAGGGGCAUAGCCAUUUCCAAUCUGACCAGGGUGGUUCAUGAUGAUAACCUGGGAGGUGAAGUUAGCAGCCUCCUUAGCAGGAUCAUCCUUGGAGUUUGAAGCAACAUAACCACGCUUGAGAUCUUUAACAGCAACAUUCUUCACAUUGAAACCGACGUUGUCACCAGGGAGAGCUUCUGUGAGAGCUUCAUGGUGCAUCUCGACAGACUUAACUUCAGUUGUCAGUCCAGUUGGUGCAAAAGUCACCACCAUUCCAGGCUUGAUGACACCAGUUUCAACACGUCCGACAGGAACAGUUCCGAUUCCUCCAAUCUUGUAGACAUCCUGAAGAGGAAGCCUGAGGGGCUUGUCUGAUGGCCUCUUGGGCUCAGUGAUCUGGUCAAGUGCCUCGAGCAAGGUAGGUCCCUUGUACCAGUCAAGGUUUGUGGACCUCUCAAUCAUGUUGUCUCCCUCAAAACCAGAGAUUGGAACAAAAGGAAUCUUGUCUGGAUUGUAUCCCACUUUCUUCAAGUAGGAGGAGACUUCCUUCACAAUUUCAUCAUACCUAGCCUUGGAGUACUUGGGUGUAGUAGCAUCCAUCUGAUCCACAGAAAGACAACAACAUCAGUUAAAACAAAUUAAAUUCAAAAGUAAUCAAUACAAGAGAAAUUAUUCAAAGGCUUAAAAUCUAAAACAUAAUUAACCUUGUUACAGCAACAAAUCAUCUGCUUCACACCAAGAGUGAAUGAAAGAAGAGCAUGUUCACGAGUCUGCCCAUCCUUAGAAAUUCCAGCUUCAAAACCACCAGUGGUGGAAUCAAUGAUCAGCACAGCACAGUCAGCUUGGGAUGUCCCUGUAAUCAUGUUCUUAAUGAAAUCCCUGUGUCCGGGAGCAUCAAUAACAGUGCAGUAGUACUUGGUGGUUUCAAACUUCCACAACGCAAUAUCAAUUGUAAUCCCUCUUUCACGCUCAGCCUUAAGCUUGUCAAGCACCCAGGCAUACUUGAAUGACCUCUUGUUCAUCUCAGCAGCUUCCUUCUCGAACCUCUCAAUCACACGCUUGUCAAUUCCUCCAAGCUUGUAAAUCAGAUGGCCAGUGGUAGUAGACUUCCCAGAGUCGACAUGGCCAAUGACCACAAUACUGAUGUGAACCUUUUCCUUACCCAUAAUUGCCUUUGGAAAUCU
rnacentral:lncRNA from 1 species